CUACGUGCCAGCAGCCGCGGUAAUACGGAGGAUUCGAGCGUUAUCCGGAUUUACUGGGUUUAAAGGGUGCGCAGGCGGACUCUUAAGUCGGCGGUGAAAUGUCUGGGCUUACCCUAGGAAUUGCCGUUGAUACUGGGAGUCUUGGAUAAGCAUAAGGACGGCGGAAUGCGUAGUGUAGCGGUGAAAUGCUUAGAUAUUACGUAGAAGACCAAUUGCGAAGGCAGCUGUCUGGGUCUUUAUCGACGCUCAAGCACGAAAGCGUGGGGAGCAAACAGGAUUAGAUACCCUGGUAGUCCACGCCGUAAACGAUGAUCACUCGCUCUUGGCGAUAUGCUGUCAGGGGCCAAGCGAAAGCGUUAAGUGAUCCACCUGGGGAGUACGGCCGCAAGGCUGAAACUCAAAGGAAUUGACGGGGGCCCGCACAAGCGGAGGAACAUGUGGUUUAAUUCGAUGAUACGCGAGGAACCUUACCUGGGCUAGA
rnacentral:rRNA from 1 species